ACGUAAACUCGUUGAUUUGAUAAAAAGCGCACUUUUUAAAAUCAAGAAAAUUAAAUUAGCUUUCUCAAAAACUACAAAUGUUUGAUGCUGUAAAACAUAAAAGGAAUCGUUAAAAGCUAGCGCAUCUCCGCUUUGGAAAAUGUCAUUGAAAAAAAUUUUGAGCAAAUUAAAUCUUUAUUAAAUUUUGAAGAUUAUACUUUCAGAGCUUUAGUUUUGUCACCUUCAAUUUUGUAUAAUUGUUUGAUUUGUGCAACGAAAAAAAAACAUUCGUUUAAUUUACAACAUACCGCAGAUGUAUAGUUUCUUAUUUUCCUUUUCCUUCAAAAAAAUGGAGAUUACAGAAACUUCACUACCAAAAAGCGCAGCGUUUCUUCAAACGUUAUAAAUUUUUCAUUAGCAAAAAUUUUCAGUGUCCAUUCAAACAAACUGCUUGUUCUUUGAUUACUGCGUUUUCUGAAAUAAUGCCACCAAAAUUUUGCCAAAAAUAUCCGGAGCGACCACUGGAAAAAUUUUACUGCAGCUUUGAUUUGAUUUUUCCGUUCUUUCCCUACCGAAUUGGAAGUAUCUACAAUGUAGCUCUUGAAAGGAAUACACAUAUCUCACGCUUUAGGACGAGUGGAAUAUGCCGUACAGACUGGCUGUAAGGUGUGAGGGGGACUCCUUUGGGUGUUUCACGGGCGAACUGUUCCAAGAUCUGCUACCCAUCAUUAAAUGCUACAAAGUGAAAGUAGACGUGGAAGUGCUAGGAUGCCACAAUAACAAAGACGAAGAUUCGGCCCCGAAAGUGCCUUGUCUUAUACGAAUAUAUGGGAACAGCAACCUCACUCAGAGAGUCAAACAGUUACGUGAAAGACAUCAACUCUCUAAACCAUGAUU